CGCACUCACAACUUAUGCCUGUAUUGUGGUAGUGCAGGGCAUUAUGCCAUCAAGUGCCCUAACAAGUCUAAAAGAACAAUAGCUAUGACUGCUGAGGGUGCGCAGAUUCAACACCAAUCCCAGAUUUCAGACCAACUGGAUUCUGUCACACAACCCUUGUUUUCUCUGGCUCAGGGCGAAGAAGGUAUGAUGACUCAACAUCCUCAUUUGGUGGUGCCUAUCACUUUGCAAUAUGGUAAUAAUAAAAUUUCAACUACAGCUAUGAUAGAUUCCGGAGCAGGCGGAAACUUUAUGGACAUUAAAUUUGCAGCAGGAAAUAAAAUUCAGUCUA